rnacentral:rRNA from 1 species
UUCGCCUACGGGGCGCAGCAGUAGGGAAUUUUCGUCAAUGGGCGCAAGCCUGAACGAGCGAUGCCGCGUGAGUGAAGAAGGCCUUCGGGUCGUAAAGCUCUGUUGCGGGGGAAAAAAGGCAGCAUCAGGAAAUGGGCGCUGACUGAUGGUGCCCCGCCAGAAAGUCACGGCUAACUACGUGCGAGCAGCCGCGGUAAUACGUAGGUGGCGAGCGUUAUCCGGAAUGAUUGGGCGUAAAGGGGGCGCAGGCGGUCUUGCAAUUCUGGAGUGAAACGCAUGGGCUCAAC